rnacentral:lncRNA from 1 species
UGAUUUUGCAUCUCCUCCCAUUAGCAUUGGGACUAGGCCCUGUUCGGCUACCAUCGACGCGAGGUGGUCAGCCCCAGCACGAGUCGCGUCGUUCCACUAUUUUCAGCUCGCUUUCAGGUCGGGCAGCAUCUCUUCUACUUCCAUCGCUCUGUCCGUCAUCCCUUCCUCCAUACUCUUUUGCUCAACAGGAAAUGGAGAGUGAUUUUUUUCCGGCCUUAUCUUAACCUUCUUCGUGGACCGGUUUAUUUUCGAACAAGGUAGUGCAUCCACUUUUUCUGUUAAGGCGACAUCGAGAGAGAGUAGCAUAUUAAGAUUGGCGAUUUAGGGUUUCGAUGGUUUAGGAGCAACGACUUAGAGAAGAAGAAGACAGUUUAGGGUCUUCAAAGAUAUUAU